rnacentral:rRNA from 1 species
UGGCCCGGCCUUACAACAACCAAACAAGUUUGACCUCAAAUCAGGUAGGAAUACCCGCUGAACUUAAGCAUAUCAAUAAGCGGAGGAAAAGAAACCAACAGGGAUUGCCUUAGUAGCGGCGAGUGAAGCGGCAAAAGCUCAAAUUUGAAAUCUGGCGCCUUCGGUGUCCGAGUUGUAAUUUGAAGAUUGUAACCUUGGGGUUGGCUCUUGUCUAUGUUUCUUGGAACAGGACGUCACAGAGGGUGAGAAUCCCGUGCGAUGAGAUGCCCAAUUCUAUGUAAGGUGCUUUCGAAGAGUCGAGUUGUUUGGGAAUGCAGCUCUAAGUGGGUGGUAAAUUCCAUCUAAAGCUAAAUAUUGGCGAGAGACCGAUAGCGAACAAGUACAGUGAUGGAAAGAUGAAAAGAACUUUGAAAAGAGAGUGAAAAAGUACGUGAAAUUGUUGAAAGGGAAGGGUUUGAGAUCAGACUCGAUAUUUUGUGAGCCUUGCCUUCGUGGCGGGGUGACCCGCAGCUUAUCGGGCCAGCAUCGGUUUGGGCGGUAGGAUAAUGGCGUAGGAAUGUGACUUU